rnacentral:rRNA from 11 species
GAACCGUACCCCAAACCGACACAGGUGGUCAGGUAGAGAAUACUAAGGCGCUUGAGAGAACUCGGGUGAAGGAACUCGGCAAAAUUGUACCGUAACUUCGGGAGAAGGUACGCUGCCGAUGGUGAGUAGACAUGCUCUACAAAGCUAUUGGCAGUCGCAGAUACCAGGCCGCUGCAACUGUUUAUUAAAAACACAGCACUCUGCAAACUCGUAAGAGGACGUAUAGGGUGUGACACCUGCCCGGUGCCGGAAGGUUAAUUGAUGGGGUUAGUUUUCGGACGAAGCUCUUGAUCGAAGCCCCGGUAAACGGCGGCCGUAACAAUAACGGUCCUAAGGUAGCGAAAUUCCUUGUCGGGUAAGUUCCGACCUGCACGAAUGGUGUAACCAUGGCCACGCUGUCUCCACCCGAGACUCAGUGAAAUUGAAAUCGCAGUGAAGAUGCUGUGUACCCGCACCUAGACGGAAAGACCCCGUGAACCUUUACUACAGCUUGGCACUGAACAUUGAACCUACAUGUGUAGGAUAGGUGGGAGGCUUUGAAGCACAGUCGCUAGAUUGUGUGGAGCCGUCCUUGAAAUACCACCCUUGUAUGUUUGAUGUUCUAACAUUGACCCCUUAUCGGGGUUGUGGACAGUGUCUGGUGGGUAGUUUGACUGGGGCGGUCUCCUCCCAAAUAGUAACGGAGGAGCACGAAGGUUAGCUAAUCACGGUCGGACAUCGUGAGGUUAGUGCAAUGGCAUAAGCUAGCUUAACUGCGAGACAGACACGUCGAGCAGGUACGAAAGUAGGUCAUAGUGAUCCGGUGGUUCUGUAUGGAAGGGCCAUCGCUCAACGGAUAAAAGGUACUCCGGGGAUAAC